rnacentral:rRNA from 1 species
UACGGGAGGCAGCAGUGGGGAAUAUUGCACAAUGGGCGAAAGCGCUGAUGCAGCGACGCCGCGUGAGGGAUGACGGCCUUCGGGUUGUAAACCUCUUUCAGCAGGGACGAAGCGCAAGUGACGGUACCUGCAGAAGAAGCACCGGCUAACUACGUGCCAGCAGCCGCGGUAAUACGUAGGGUGCAAGCGUUGUCCGGAAUUACUGGGCGUAAAGAGUUCGUAGGCGGUUUGUCGCGUCGUUUGUGAAAACCAGCAGCUCAACUGCUGGCUUGCAGGCGAUACGGGCAGACUUGAGUACUGCAGGGGAGACUGGAAUUCCUGGUGUAGCGGUGAAAUGCGCAGAUAUCAGGAGGAACACCGGUGGCGAAGGCGGGUCUCUGGGCAGUAACUGACGCUGAGGAACGAAAGCGUGGGUAGCGAACAGGAUUAGAUACCCUGGUAGUCCACGCCGUAAACGGUGGGCGCUAGGUGUGGGUUCCUUCCACGGAAUCCGUGCCGUAGCUAACGCAUUAAGCGCCCCGCCUGGGGAGUACGGCCGCAAGGCUAAAA